AAAGAAACCAACAGGGAUUGCCCUAGUAACGGCGAGUGAAGCGGCAACAGCUCAAAUUUGAAAUCUGGCCCUCGUGGUCCGAGUUGUAAUUUGCAGAGGAUGCUUUGGGUGCGGCGCCUUCCAAGUUCCCUAGAACGGGACGCCUUAGAGGGUGAGAGCCCCGUACGGUUGGACGCCUAGCCUAUGUAUAGCUCCUUCGACGAGUCGAGUAGUUUGGGAAUGCUGCUCUAAAUGGGAGGUAAAUUUCUUCUAAAGCUAAAUACCGGCCAGAGACCGAUAGCGCACAAGUAGAGUGAUCGAAAGAUGAAAAGUACUUUGAAAAGAGGGUUAAAUAGCACGUGAAAUUGUUGAAAGGGAAGCGUUUGCGACCAGACCUUUUCCAGGCGGAUCAUCCGGCGUUCUCGCCGGUGCACUUCGCCUGGUUUAGGCCAGCAUCGGUUUUCCCAGGGGGAUAAAGGCGGCGGGAACGUGGCUCUCUCGGGAGUGUUAUAGCCCGCCGCGUAAUACCCUUGGGGGGACCGAGGACCGCGCUUCGGCAAGGAUGCUGGCGUAAUGGUCGUCAACGACCCGUCUUGAAACACGGACCAAGGAGUCGAACAUUUGUGCGAGUGUUUGGGUGUCAAACCCUCACGCGUAAUGAAAGUGAACGGAGGUGAGAGCCCCUCGCGGGUGCAUCAUCGACCGAUCCUGAUGUCUUCGGAUGGAUUUGAGUAAGAGCAUAACUGUUCGGACCCGAAAGAUGGUGAACUAUGCGUGGAUAGGGUGAAGCCAGAGGAAACUCUGGUGGAGGCUCGCAGCGGUUCUGACGUGCAAAUCGAUCGUCAAAUCUGCGCAUGGGGGCGAAAGACUUAUCGAACCAUCU
rnacentral:rRNA from 1 species